rnacentral:rRNA from 1 species
CCUACGGGAGUCAGCAGUGAGGAAUAUUGGUCAAUGGACGAGAUUCUGAACCAGCCAAGUAGCGUGAAGGAUGACUGCCCUAUGGGUUGUAAACUUCUUUUAUAUGGGAAUAAAAUGUUCCACGUGUGGGAUUUUGUAUGUACCAUAUGAAUAAGGAUCGGCUAACUCCGUGCCAGCAGCCGCGGUAAUACGGAGGAUCCGAGCGUUAUCCGGAUUUAUUGGGUUUAAAGGGAGCGUAGGUGGAUUGUUAAGUCAGUUGUGAAAGUUUGCGGCUCAACCGUAAAAUUGCAGUUGAAACUGGCAGUCGUGAGUACAGUAGAGGUUGGCGGAAUUCAUGGUGUAGCGGUGAAAUGCUUAGAGAUCACGAAGAACUCCGAUUGCGAAGGCAGCUCACUGGACUGCAACUGACACUGAGGCUCGAAAGUGGGGGUAUCAAACAGGAUUAGAGACCCUUGUAGUC